UGGGGAAUUUUGGACAAUGGGCGAAAGCCUGAUCCAGCAAUGCCGCGUGUGUGAAGAAGGCCUUCGGGUUGUAAAGCACUUUUGUCCGGAAAGAAAUCCUUGGCUCUAAUACAGUCGGGGGAUGACGGUACCGGAAGAAUAAGCACCGGCUAACUACGUGCCAGCAGCCGCGGUAAUACGUAGGGUGCAAGCGUUAAUCGGAAUUACUGGGCGUAAAGCGUGCGCAGGCGGUUUGCUAAGACCGAUGUGAAAUCCCCGGGCUCAACCUGGGAACUGCAUUGGUGACUGGCAGGCUAGAGUAUGGCAGAGGGGGGUAGAAUUCCACGUGUAGCAGUGAAAUGCGUAGAGAUGCGGAGGAAUACCGAUGGCGAAGGCAGCCCCCUGGGCCAAUACUGACGCUCAUGCACGAAAGCGUGGGGAGCAAACAGGAUUAGAUACCCUGGUAGUCCACGCCCUAAACGAUGUCAACUAGUUGUUGGGGAUUCAUUUCCUUAGUAACGUAGCUAACGCGUGAAGUUGACCGCCUGGGGAGUACGGUCGCAAGAUUAAAACUCAAAGGAAUUGACGGGGUCAUAGCUGUUUCCU
rnacentral:rRNA from 1 species